GGUCUAGUGGUGUAGUGGUAACACACUUUGCUAAAUGUUCUACUUGACAAACGAGUUUCAGCAGGAGAUCUUUGUUCGAAUCAAGGCUAGGCCA